ensembl:rRNA 5S_rRNA 5S ribosomal RNA
GCCUAUCACCAUUCCAGAUUGAAUAUACCCGAUCUCGUCUGAUCUCGGAAGUCAAGCAAUCUCGGGCUUGGUUAGUACUUGAAUGGGUGACCGCUUGGGCAUACCAAGUGUGAUAAUCA